rnacentral:rRNA from 1 species
UGGGGUAUAUUGCACAAUGGGCGCAAGCCUGAUGCAGCCAUGCCGCGUGUGUGAAGAAGGCCUUCGGGUUGUAAAGCACUUUCAGCGGGGAGGAAGGCGAUAAGGUUAAUAACCUUGUCGAUUGACGUUACCCGCAGAAGAAGCACCGGCUAACUCCGUGCCAGCAGCCGCGGUAAUACGGAGGGUGCAAGCGUUAAUCGGAAUUACUGGGCGUAAAGCGCACGCAGGCGGUCUGUCAAGUCGGAUGUGAAAUCCCCGGGCUCAACCUGGGAACUGCAUUCGAAACUGGCAGGCUAGAGUCUUGUAGAGGGGGGUAGAAUUCCAGGUGUAGCGAUGAAAUGCGUAGAGAUCUGGAGGAAUACCGGUGGCGAAGGCGGCCCCCUGGACAAAGACUGACGCUCAGGUGCGAAAGCGUGGGGAGCAAACAGG